CUAGCGUUGUUCGGAAUUACUGGGCGUAAAGCGCACGUAGGCGGCUUUGUAAGUUAGAGGUGAAAGCCCAGUGCUCAACACUGGAACUGCCUUUAAAACUGCAUCGCUUGAAUCCAGGAGAGGUGAGUGGAAUUCCGAGUGUAGAGGUGAAAUUCGUAGAUAUUCGGAAGAACACCAGUGGCGAAGGCGGCUCACUGGACUGGUAUUGACGCUGAGGUGCGAAAGCGUGGGGAGCAAACAGG
rnacentral:rRNA from 1 species